rnacentral:rRNA from 1 species
AAGGGUCCUGAAGGAACGUUGAAGACGACGACGUUGAUAGGCCGGGUGUGUAAGCGCAGCGAUGCGUUGAGCUAACCGGUACUAAUGAACCGUGAGGCUUAACCUUACAACGCCGAAGGUGUUU